UACAGAGGGUGCGAGCGUUAAUCGGAAUUACUGGGCGUAAAGCGUGCGUAGACGGUUAUUUAAGUCGGGUGUGAAAGCCCCGGGCUCAACCUGGGAAUUGCAUUUGUGACUGCAUGGCUAGAGUACGGUAGAGGGGGGAUGGAAUUCCGCGUGUAGCAGUGAAAUGCGUAGAUAUGCGGAGGAACACCGAUGGCGAAGGCAGCCCUCCUGGGCCAGCACUGACGCUCAUGCACGAAAGCGUGGGAG
rnacentral:rRNA from 1 species